UACGAAGGGGGCUAGCGUUGCUCGGAAUCACUGGGCGUAAAGCGCACGUAGGCGGAUUGUUAAGUCAGGGGUGAAAUCCUGGAGCUCAACUCCAGAACUGCCUUUGAUACUGAAGAUCUUGAGUUCGGGAGAGGUGAGUGGAACUGCGAGUGUAGAGGUGAAAUUCGUAGAUAUUCGCAAGAACACCAGUGGCGAAGGCGGCUCACUGGCCCGGUACUGACGCUGAGGCGCGAAAGCGUGGGGAGCAAACAGG
rnacentral:rRNA from 1 species